AGCAAGUAACAAGGGACACAUGGCUGGGAUGACCCAGGGAAGAGAAAGCUGUGAACGCUCUUACCCCACUCGCCCCCAUAUAGCUUGCUACAGAGAGACACACUCUCUAGAACAUUGCUUUUAAAAGAAUGAAAUAGGAUUUGUGGGCCAGGAGCCUGGCUCCUUGGAAUCUUGAAUCCUAACUUGGGCUCCCUGGCUUCUAACAAGUGUGAGAGGCCCUGCUGCUAUCAGAAUCUUUGCCUGUCUUCUAUGUGUUUUGUUAUGACACCUUGACACCUCUAUGACUGUGAUUGUCAAGCUUAAGAAAAAAAUGCCACCAGGAAAAGCUGUGGAGUCCCAGAUGCCACCUCCAAGGAUUCUGGAAUUACAAGGAGUUUCACUUCUCCAAGCACCAUGAGUGAUUCUGAGGACCACACUUGGUGAUAACAACUCAGAGGUCAAGACCGCUCUUCUACAAUCACAGGAAUGGGAAAACCAUUGUCCAAGAAGCUUAACUGGGAUUUCUUUUUGACCCGU